AGCAUCUGAGAAUCUUGCUAAAAUGCAGAUUCUGAUUCAUGAGGUCCGUGCUGGGGCCCAAGAUUCUGCAUUUCUGACAUGCUCCCAGGUGAUGCCAA
rnacentral:pre_miRNA from 1 species